UCAUAGUUGGCUUAGAAGAUAAAGUGUCUGCCUAUACUGCAGAAGACCUGGGUUCAAUCCCUGGGUUGGGAA
rnacentral:tRNA from 1 species